ACCGGGAUCAACAAGACACGGAAUGCCAUAUGUUCCAGAUUCUACUGGUAUGGCAUGUCAGUGGACAUUGAAAACUGGAUCUUGGAAUGUGAUGAGUGCCAAAAGGUAGGGAGGCCUUUGACAGCUGUACAGACACUGGAGUGUAUUAAGGUAUCUGCUGUGUGGGAGCUGGUUGGAAUAGAUUUGACUGGACCAUUGCCCAAAACCACUGAUGGCUACCAGUAUAUCCUUACAGCGACAGAUUACUUCUCUAAAUGGGUUGAAGCAUUUCCUUUGAAAGGAAAGUCUGCAACUGAAGUUGGAAAGCAUCUCUGUUCCAUGAUUUACAGACACGGAUGUCUGAAAAGAAUUCUGUCAGAUCAAGGAAGAGAAUUUGUCAAUGAACUCAACCGCAGCCUGUGUGAGAUGUUGCACAUUGAGAGAAGUGUAACUGCAGCCUACCAUCCACAAACAGAUGGACUGGAUGAAAAAACAAACGACAAUAUAAAACGAGCUCUGAAGAAACUGGUUAACAACCAGCAGAAUGACUGGGACAUCUAUCUGGAUGCAACAUUAUUUUCUUUAAGGUCAAAGGUCCAUACAACCACUAAACAUUCACCAUUUCUGCUUGUGUACGGAAGAGAG